rnacentral:pre_miRNA from 1 species
ACAACAUAUAGAACGUCGGUCUACCGAGCUAUAUCGCCCGCUCGGUAGAUCUUCUUUUCGUCGU